AUUGAACGCUGGCGGCGUGCUAAACACAUGCAAGUCGUGCGGUAACAGGCGUAGCAAUACGUGCUGACGAGCGGCGAACGGGUGCGUAAUACAUGGGAAUCUGCCCUUUAGUGGGGAAUAACCCGGCGAAAGCCGGGCUAAUGCCGCAUAAGAUCUUCGGAUGAAAGCGGGGGAUCGUAAGACCUCGCGCUGAUGGAUGAGCCCAUGUCGGAUUAGCAGUUGGUGAGGUAACGGCUCACCAAGGCGACGAUCCGUAGCUGGUCUGAGAGGACGGCCAGCCACACUGGGACUGAGACACGGCCCAGACUCCUACGGGAGGCAGCAGUGGGGAAUAUUGGACAAUGGGCGAAAGCCUGAUCCAGCGACGCCGCGUGUGUGAA
rnacentral:rRNA from 1 species